rnacentral:rRNA from 1 species
UACGUAGGCAGCGAGCGUUGUUCGGAGUUACUGGGCGUAAAGAGUGCGUAGGCGGUUUUCUAAGUUUGGUGUGAAAUCUCCCGGCUUAACUGGGAGGGUGCGCCGAAAACUGGAAGGCUUGAGUAUGGGAGAGGUAAGCGGAAUUCCUGGUGUAGCGGUGAAAUGCGUAGAUAUCUGGAGGAACACCGGUGGCGAAGGCGGCAUCCUGGACCAAUACUGACGCUGAGGAGCGAAAGCCAGGGGAGCAAACGGG